rnacentral:ncRNA from 1 species
UUGACAAGGAUGCAAGAGGCCCUUGGUCUAACAACAUGCAUACGGUUAAGACAUUGCCACGCACUUUGUGGCUUCUAACCAAAGUACCUU